rnacentral:rRNA from 1 species
UACAGAGGUCUCAAGCGUUUGUUCGGAUUCAUUGGGCGUAAAGGGUGCGUAGGCGGCGCGGUAAGUCGGGUGUGAAAUCUCGGAGCUUAACUCCGAAAACUGCAUUCGAUACUGCCGUGCUUGAGGACUGGAGAGGAGACUGGAAUUUACGGUGUAGCAGUGAAAUGCGUAGAGAUCGUAAGGAAGACCAGUGGCGAAGGCGGGGUCUCUGGACAGUUCCUGACGCUGAGGCACGAAGGCCAGGGGGAGCAAAACGGGG